rnacentral:lncRNA from 11 species
UGGGAAUAGUUGUUACUCCUCCUCGACAUAUGGAGAAGUAUGUCAGUCAGAUGGUGCACACUGGAAGGAUUGUACCUCCAGUACUUUAGGAGAGAGAGUACUCUGUACCCAGAGGCAUGGAGCUGUUUCCAUCCUGCUUGCACUGUUACUGCUAUACCUGCUGCUAGUUAACAAAGAAAGAAGAAAAUGAGAAGGAAGAAGAGAGGUAGGAGGAGGACUAUGUGCGUGUUUGUGUGGAUUU